ACCCGCUGAACUUAAGCAUAUCAAUAAGCGGAGGAAAAGAAACCAACAGGGAUUGCCCUAGUAACGGCGAGUGAAGCGGCAACAGCUCAAAUUUGAAAUCUGGCGUCUUUGGCGUCCGAGUUGUAAUUUGCAGAGGGCGCUUUGGCAUUGGCAGCGGUCCAAGUUCCUUGGAACAGGACGUCACAGAGGGUGAGAAUCCCGUACGUGGUCGCUAGCCUUUACCGUGUAAGGCCCCUUCGACGAGUCGAGUUGUUUGGGAGUGCAGCUCUAAAUGGGAGGUAAAUUUCUUCUAAAGCUAAAUACUGGCCAGAGACCGAUAGCGCACAAGUAGAGUGAUCGAAAGAUGAAAAGCACUUUGGAAAGAGAGUUAAAAAGCACGUGAAAUUGUUGAAAGGGAAGCGCUUGCAGCCAGACUUGCCUGUAGUUGCUCAUCCGGGUUUUUACCCGGUGCACUCUUCUAUAGGCAGGCCAGCAUCAGUUUGGGCGGUUGGAUAAAGGUCUCUGUCAUGUACCUCUCUUCGGGGAGAACUUAUAGGGGAGACGACAUGCAACCAGCCCGGACUGAGGUCCGCGCAUCUGCUAGGAUGCUGGCGUAAUGGCUGU
rnacentral:rRNA from 1 species